rnacentral:rRNA from 1 species
UACGUAGGUGGCAAGCGUUAUCCGGAUUUAUUGGGUUUAAAGGGUGCGUAGGCGGCAGAUUAAGUUAGAGGUGAAAUUCCGAGGCUCAACCUUGGCACUGCCUCUGAUACUGGUUUGCUAGCGAGUAGAUGCUGUAGGCGGAAUGUGUGGUGUAGCGGUGAAAUGCAUAGAUAUCGCGCAGAACUCCGAUUGCGAAGGCAGCGUACCGGCGCCACACUGACGCUGAGGCACGAAGGCGUGGGGAUCGAACAGG